rnacentral:rRNA from 1 species
UACAGAGGUCUCAAGCGUUGUUCGGAUUCAUUGGGCGUAAAGGGUGCGUAGGUGGCGGGGUAAGUCAGGUGUGAAAUUUCGGAGCUUAACUCCGAAACUGCAUUUGAUACUGCCUUGCUUGAGGACUGGAGAGGAGACUGGAAUUCACGGUGUAGCAGUGAAAUGCGUAGAGAUCGUGAGGAAGACCAGUGGCGAAGGCGGGCCUCUGGACAGUUCCUGACACUGAGGCACGAAGGCCAGGGGAGCAAACGGG